UGGAAAUACACAGAGAAACUGGCAGAAAAUGAAUCCAUGGAGAUUUUGACAAGACCCCUCUAAGCAAGAUCUAAAGACAACAUCAGAUGGAGUUGUCUGUGGAUUAUGUACGUAUUGUCAGAGACAUUCAUGCAAAAUAAUGGGUUUGGUGGUGACAGGGUUACAGCCACAACAAGAAAGUGAGAUACAGUUAGUGGAAUUCUCAAGUGCUCUCUUAGGAUGAAUAAACCUUAAGAAAGAACACCCUGCUUUUGUAACAGAUGAAGAAAGGCUAUGGAAGAGACAGAUUCUGGAGGAUGCAGCAUUCAAGGUUCUAUCUUGGAAGCAGAGACUGUGCCCUCACCAGAUGCUGAACCUGCUGAGCACCCUGAUCUUCCACUUCACCUUCAUCAGAACUACUGGGGCUGUGGCUGAGAUGUCACAUGGCAGAUAGGAUCACAAAUUUCUGUUGUAUCUGGAUGGAGAUCAGCAGGAGGAUCUAUGGGUGAGAAGAAGCACAGUUACAGAUGGAUUCUAGAGCCUGCUUGCUGACACAGGCUUGCAACUGCGGACUUUAUAAGCUUAGUUUUUAAUCUGCUAUCAGCUAGCAUAAUACCAUAAAUGCAUAAGAAACUAAGUAUUCAGUCUUACGAGAAAUGCUAUCUUGACCUGACCCUUUCUCCAAAUAAAUUGACAAAAUAUCUCAUCGUCUAGGAUGCCAGACAGAAAUACCAGUUGCAAUGUUUUGUUGCAUAAAGUUUAUCCUAAUUUAAAUUAGUGGCAUAUAAAGUCAUCAUCUUGCUUGAACAAACAUCUUAUUAAAUUGAGCAUGUCUUUUAUCCCAUGAAAUGAAAUUAAUUUUGAGAUAGUUAUUUUUCAGUUGGAAAUUUAUUGAGUUGAUAGAAAACAAGUUAUAUAGUCUUCCAAAGAAUAUGUUACAUCCAUUUGCAUUUUGUUUUUCUUCAGCAAUGUUUGGUUUUUAGAAAAUCUUACAAGUUAAAUAUACUAAUGUAGAAAUUGAAAGAAAAUAAUCAGAGAUAGAGCAAUAAAUUUGCAAAUAAAGAUUAUUCUUAAAACAAA
ensembl:lncRNA LINC00882 long intergenic non-protein coding RNA 882